UCGCCUGUUUACCAAAAACAUCGCCUCUGGAUAAAAUAUAAGAGGUCCAGCCUGCCCAGUGAUAUAAUUAAACGGCCGCGGUACCCUGACCGUGCAAAGGUAGCAUAAUCACUUGUUCUCUAAAUAGGGACUCGUAUCAACGGCAUCACGAGGGUUAUACUGUCUCCCCCCUCUAAUCAGUGAAACUGACCUCCCCGUGAAGAGGCGGGGAUAUUAAUACAAGACGAGAAGACCCCAUGGAGCUUUAAACCCAAUAACAACCUUCACCAAAGUACCUUAAAAAUGAAGAGGCACUGUUUAUUGGUUUUAGGUUGGGGUGACCACGGAGAAAAACUAAACCUCCAUGACGAAUGGACCUUAAACCUAAUCUAAGAGCCACUACUCCAAGAAUCAUUAAUUUGACAUAAUUUGAUCCGGCAACCGAUCAACGAACCAAGUUUACCCUGGGGAUAACAGCGCAAUCCAUUUCAAGAGCCCCCUAUCGACAAAUGGGUUUACGACCUCGAUGUUGGAUCAGGGUAUCCCAGUGGGUGCAGCCGCUACUAAAGGUUUGUUUGUUUCAACAAUUUAAAACCCUACGUGAUCUGAGUUCCAGACCGGA
rnacentral:rRNA from 1 species